rnacentral:rRNA from 1 species
CGGUAAUACGGAGGGUGCAAGCGUUACUCGGAAUCACUGGGCGUAAAGCGCGCGCAGGCGGUCUUUUAAGUUGGAUGUGAAAGCCUAUGGCUCAACCAUAGAACUGCAUCCAAAACUAUUAGACUAGAGUCUGGGAGGGGAAGAUGGAAUUAGUUGUGUAGGGGUAAAAUCCGUAGAGAUAACUAGGAAUACCAAAAGCGAAGGCGAUCUUCUGGAACAGUACUGACGCUGAGGCGCGAAAGCGUGGGGAGCAAACAGGAUUAGAUACCCUGGUAGUCCACGCCCUAAACGAUGAAUGUUAGUCGUCGGAGGCCUAGUGUCUUCGGUGAUGCAGCUAACGCAUUAAACAUUCCGCCUGGGGAGUACGGUCGCAAGAUUAAAACUCAAAGGAAUAGACGGGGACCCGCACAAGUGGUGGAGCAUGUGGUUUAAUUCGAAGAUACGCGAAGAACCUUACCUAGCCUUGACAUAUUUUAGAACACUUUAGAGAUAGAGUGGUGCCUUCGGGAGCUAAUAUACAGGUGCUGCACGGCUGUCGUCAGCUCGUGUCGUGAGAUGUUGGGUUAAGUCCCGCAACGAGCGCAACCCUCGUCACUAGUUACUAACGGUUCGGCCGAGGACUCUAGUGAGACUGCCUUCGUAAGGAGGAGGAAGGUGAGGACGACGUCAAGUCAUCAUGGCCCUUACGGCUAGGGCAACACACGUGCUACAAUGGUUAGGACAAUGAGACGCGAUACCGCGAGGUGGAGCAAAUCUAUAAACCUAAUCUCAGUUCGGAUUGUAGUCUGCAACUCGACUACAUGAAGCUGGAAUCACUAGUAAUCGUAGAUCAGCUAUGCUACGGUGAAUACGUUCCCGGG